CAACCUGCCUUCAGGAUGGGGACAACAGACGGAAACGACUGCUAAUACCGAAUAAGUUCCAAGAGCCGCAUGGCCCAUGGAAGAAAAGGUGGCCUCUACCUGUAAGCUAUCGCCUGAAGAGGGGUUUGCGUCUGAUUAGCUGGUUGGAGGGGUAACGGCCCACCAAGGCGACGAUCAGUAGCCGGUCUGAGAGGAUGAACGGCCACACUGGAACUGAGACACGGUCCAGACUCCUACGGGAGGCAGCAGUGGGGAAUCUUCCGCAAUGGGCGAAAGCCUGACGGAGCAACGCCGCGUGAGUGAUGACGGCCUUCGGGUUGUAAAACUCUGUGAUCCGGGACGAAAAGGCAGAGUGCGAAGAACAAACUGCAUUGACGGUACCGGAAAAGCAAGCCACGGCUAA
rnacentral:rRNA from 1 species